ACAGAGGGUGCGAGCGUUAAUCGGAAUUACUGGGCGUAAAGCGCGCGUAGGCGGCUUUGCAAGUCGGGUGUGAAAUCCCCAGGCUUAACCUGGGAACUGCAUUCGAGACUGCAUUGCUAGAGUAUGGGAGAGGGAAGUGGAAUUUCCGGUGUAGCGGUGAAAUGCGUAGAUAUCGGAAGGAACAUCAGUGGCGAAAGCGGCUUCCUGGACCAGCACCGACGUUCAGGCACGAAAGCGUGGGGAGCAAACAGGA
rnacentral:rRNA from 1 species